UACCCCUCUCAACCCCGUUUGCUUUUCGGAGCGAAUGGAAGGGUUGGAUCGUGACCUUUUGUUGGGCUUUUGUCAUUGAAAGCUUUCUAACUGGGUUGAAUAGCAACAAGCUGAAUCGGACUCAGCGGCUUGACCUGUUGUCGUAACUUAAAACUCAAUAGGGACGCUGAUAGUAGAACGAGCUUACCAUAAAUUUGUUUUUCUAC
rnacentral:misc_RNA from 1 species